rnacentral:rRNA from 1 species
UACAGAGGUCUCAAGCGUUGUUCGGAUUCAUUGGGCGUAAAGGGUGCGUAGGCGGCGCGGUAAGUCGGGUGUGAAAUCUCGGGGCUUAACUCCGAAACUGCAUUCGAUACUGCCGUGCUUGAGGACUGGAGAGGAGACUGGAAUUCCCGGUGUAGCGGUGAAAUGCGCAGAUAUCGGGAGGAACACCGGUGGCGAAGGCGGUUCUCUGGGCCUUACCUGACGCUGAGGAGCGAAAGCGUGGGGAGCGAACAGG